GUAGGUGAACCUGCGGAAGGAUCAUUAUCGAAUUAUAAGCGAGGGUUGUUGCUGGCCUCGAAAGAGGCAUGUGCACGCCCGAGCUCUUAAAUCCACAACACACCUGUGAACCCACCGUAGGCCUUCGGGCUUAUGUAUCAUAUACUCUGAAUGUGUCAUAGAAUGUUCAUGUUGCCUUAAAACGCAAUCAAAUACAACUUUCAACAACGGAUCUCUUGGCUCUCGCAUCGAUGAAGAACGCAGCAUCUGA
rnacentral:misc_RNA from 1 species